GAAGUUAGCGGCGGACGGGUGAGUAACACGUGGGUAACCUGCCCAUAAGACUGGGAUAACUCCGGGAAACCGGGGCUAAUACCGGAUAACAUUUUGAACCGCAUGGUUCGAAAUUGAAAGGCGGCUUCGGCUGUCACUUAUGGAUGGACCCGCGUCGCAUUAGCUAGUUGGUGAGGUAACGGCUCACCAAGGCAACGAUGCGUAGCCGACCUGAGAGGGUGAUCGGCCACACUGGGACUGAGACACGGCCCAGACUCCUACGGGAGGCAGCAGUAGGGAAUCUUCCGCAAUGGACGAAAGUCUGACGGAGCAACGCCGCGUGAGUGAUGAAGGCUUUCGGGUCGUAAAACUCUGUUGUUAGGGAAGAACAAGUGCUAGUUGAAUAAGCUGGCACCUUGACGGUACCUAACCAGAAAGCCACGGCUAACUACGUGCCAGCAGCCGCGGUAAUACGUAGGUGGCAAGCGUUAUCCGGAAUUAUUGGGCGUAAAGCGCGCGCAGGUGGUUUCUUAAGUCUGAUGUGAAAGCCCACGGCUCAACCGUGGAGGGUCAUUGGAAACUGGGAGACUUGAGUGCAGAAGAGGAAAGUGGAAUUCCAUGUGUAGCGGUGAAAUGCGUAGAGAUAUGGGAGGG
rnacentral:rRNA from 1 species